CCACAGUGGGGUUUGGGUUCUUUGUUACCUCUCUCAACAAGGCUCUUCUCCCACGAUUGCUCAGUUAGGCUGGACAGCCAGGUCUAGGAAGAGUCUGAGCCUGAUCUGUGCCUUGCCACAAUUCUGUCUCUGAGCUCCUUGAGCAGUUCCUUCAACCUCAUGAUUCUCAUUUGCUCUAACAAGGUGUUUGCCUUUCUUAAUCAAGUCCUAUCAGUUUAAUUAAACACAGCAGGACUCCAAGGAGUAGAACCAUCUCAAGGAGGAUCAAAAGAAAUGCACAGCAUAUGACACCAUCAGGAGAAUACGUCCCUUUCUCACUCAGAAGGCAGCACAGGCACUGAUUCAGGCUCUUGUCAUCUCCCACCUGGACCAUCGUAACUCCUGGCAGUUCUCCCCGCUAUCGCGAUUCGACCUCUGCAGCUCAUUCAGAAUGCAGCAGCUUGACUGGUCUUUAACCUUCCUUAAUUCUCCCACAAUACUCCACUCCUCCGCUCUCUUCACUGGCUACCGGUCCAGCUUACAUCUAGGACAUGGUCAAACCCCACAUCCCGACCCGCACUCUCCGCUCUGCAUCUGAUAAACU
ensembl:lncRNA